rnacentral:rRNA from 1 species
AGCAGCCGCGGUAAUUCCAGCUCCAAUAGCGUAUAUUAAAGUUGUUGCAGUUAAAAAGCUCGUAGUUGAAUUUCGGGAUCAAUACGUCGGUCGUGCUUCGGUACGUACUGGCGUAAUUGAUUUCUCCCUUCUGACGAACCAUGAUGUCAUUAACUUGGUGUCAUGGGAAAUCAGGACUGUUACUUUGAAAAAUUAGAGUAGUUUAAAGCAGGCUCACGCUUGAAUACAUUAGCAUGGAAUAAUGAAAUAGGACGUUCGAUCCUAUUUUGUGUUUUAGGAUCAACGUAAUGAUUAAUAGGGAUAGUUGGGGCAUUAGUAUUCAACUGU